rnacentral:misc_RNA from 1 species
UCAAACUUGGUCAUUUAGAGGAAGUAAAAGUCGUAACAAGGUCUCCGUUGGUGAACCAGCGGAGGGAUCAUUAUAGAGUUUUCAAAACUCCUAAACCCGUGUGAACAUACCUAUCUCGUUGCCUCGGCGCGGUUUUAUAAGCCCGCCGGCGGCCCUUACAAACUCUGUCUAAUACAAGGUUAUCUGAGCAUUAUUAAAAAAAAAUAAGUCAAAACUUUCAACAACGGAUCUCUUGGUUCUGGCAUCGAUGAAGAACGCAGC